CCUACGGGAGGCAGCAGUGGGGAAUUUUGGACAAUGGGCGCAAGCCUGAUCCAGCCAUUCCGCGUGAGUGAAGAAGGCCUUCGGGUUGUAAAGCUCUUUCGCAAGGGAAGAAAACUUAUCCUCUAACAUAGGAUGAGGUUGACGGUACCUUGAUAAGAAGCACCGGCUAACUACGUGCCAGCAGCCGCGGUAAUACGUAGGGUGCGAGCGUUAAUCGGAAUUACUGGGCGUAAAGCGUGCGCAGGCUGUUUUGUAAGUCAGAUGUGAAAUCCCUGGGCUCAACCUAGGAACUGCGUUUGAAACUACAAGACUAGAAUAUGUCAGAGGGGGGUAGAAUUCCGCGUGUAGCAGUGAAAUGCGUAGAGAUGUGGAGGAAUAUCAAUGGCGAAGGCAGCCCCCUGGGAUAAUAUUGACGCUCAUGCACGAAAGCGUGGGGAGCAAACAGGAUUAGAUACCCUGGUAGUCCACGCCCUAAACGAUGUCUACUAGUUGUUGGUGGAGUAAAAUCCAUGAGUAACGCAGCUAACGCGUGAAGUAGACCGCCUGGGGAGUACGGUCGCAAGAUUAAAACUCAAAUGAAUUGACGG
rnacentral:rRNA from 1 species